rnacentral:rRNA from 1 species
GAGUAAUGUCUGGGAAACUGCCUGAUGGAGGGGGAUAACUACUGGAAACGGUAGCUAAUACCGCAUAACGUCGCAAGACCAAAGAGGGGGACCUUCGGGCCUCUUGCCAUCGGAUGUGCCCAGAUGGGAUUAGCUAGUAGGUGGGGUAAAGGCUCACCUAGGCGACGAUCCCUAGCUGGUCUGAGAGGAUGACCAGCCACACUGGAACUGAGACACGGUCCAGACUCCUACGGGAGGCAGCAGUGGGGAAUAUUGCACAAUGGGCGCAAGCCUGAUGCAGCCAUGCCGCGUGUAUGAAGAAGGCCUUCGGGUUGUAAAGUACUUUCAGCGGGGAGGAAGGGAGUAAAGUUAAUACCUUUGCUCAUUGACGUUACCCGCAGAAGAAGCACCGGCUAACUCCGUGCCAGCAGCCGCGGUAAUACGGAGGGUGCAAGCGUUAAUCGGAAUUACUGGGCGUAAAGCGCACGCAGGCGGUUUGUUAAGUCAGAUGUGAAAUCCCCGGGCUCAACCUGGGAACUGCAUCUGAUACUGGCAAGCUUGAGUCUCGUAGAGGGGGGU